UUAGGGCGGAGGUGAGAAUUGUUCACUCGGCCUCCAUCUGUCUCCUUCAUUUCUCCUUCAUUCUUGAUUUAGUUAGGGUUUUGAUUUUCCUUUUUAUUGUUUAGUUUUGUUGAUUUUGCAGAUUAAUUUACCGGAAAGAUGAGAAUGUGGUGGCCGACGAGCAGCGGCGAAGGGAGGAAGGAGAUCGUGCGAUGUUCAGGAAGAGGAGAGGAGAGACCGAGGAGGUUGCGCGAUGAGUCGUCGUGGCUGCUGCUGCUCCUCGUCGGACAACCUAGUUAGGAAAUUGCAUGAGGAAGAUGAGGUGUUCCUUAUGAGGAGGAGGCGGAUUUGCCGCUGGUUGUUGGUGGUGGUGGUUGCCGCUGCCGCAAUUAGAGGAAGGAGACGUAGCGCCUGAUACUGAAGUUGCUCAGUCAUGCGGUGGCUGCGAGGCGAACGAAGCGAAGCUGCUAACCUCGCUAGGGUUUCGUAGCUGGAAGGAAGCGUUACUUGUUGGUCGAUUAUGCUGUUGUUGGUGUUUUAAUUUCGUUUUAGUUAAGAAUUGUAAUGUUUUAGUUAUGGUUUUUCUGUAUUUAGUUAAGAAAUAAAUGGUUUAGUUGAUUUUCUUAAGUGAAUAAUUGUUUAGUUAAAA